rnacentral:rRNA from 1 species
AUUGAACGCUGGCGGCAGGCCUAACACAUGCAAGUCGAACGGCAGCGGGGGGAAGCUUGCUUCCCCGCCGGCGAGUGGCGGACGGGUGAGUAAUGCCUGGGGAGCUGCCCAAUCGAGGGGGAUACCAGUUGGAAACGACUGCUAAUACCGCAUACGCCCUGAGGGGGAAAGGUGGGGAUCUUCGGACCUAUCGCGAUUGGAUGCACCCAGGUGGGAUUAGCUAGUUGGUGAGGUAACGGCUCACCAAGGCGACGAUCUCUAGCUGGUCUGAGAGGAAGACCAGCCACACUGGAACUGAGACACGGUCCAGACUCCUACGGGAGGCAGCAGUGGGGAAUAUUGCACAAUGGGGGAAACCCUGAUGCAGCCAUGCCGCGUGUGUGAAGAAGGCCUUCGGGUUGUAAAGCACUUUCAGCGAGGAGGAAAGGGUGGCAGCUAAUACCUGUCAUCUGUGGCGUUACUCGCAGAAGAAGCACCGGCUAACUCCGUGCCAGCCGCCGCCGUAAUAC